rnacentral:rRNA from 1 species
GACGAACGCUGGCGGCGUGCUUAACACAUGCAAGUCGAACGAUGAAGCUAGAGCUUGCUCUGGUGAAUUAGUGGCGAACGGGUGAGUAACACGUGAGUAACCUGCCCCGAACUCUGGGAUAACUGCUGGAAACGGUAGCUAAUACUGGAUACGACCUACGAAGGCAUCUUCUGUAGGUGGAAAGAAUUUCGGUUCGGGAUGGACUCGCGGCCUAUCAGCUUGUUGGUGAGGUAAUGGCUCACCAAGGCGACGACGGGUAGCCGGCCUGAGAGGGUGACCGGCCACACUGAGACUGAGACACGGCCCAGACGCCUACGGGAGGCAGCAGUGGGGAAUAUUGCACAAUGGGCGCAAGCCUGAUGCAGCAACGCCGCGUGAGGGAUGACGGCCUUCGGGUUGUAAACCUCUUUUAGUAGGGAAGAAGCGAAAGUGACGGUACCUGCAGAAAAAGCACCGGCUAACUACGUGCCAGCAGCCGCGGUAA